GACGAACGCUGGCGGCGUGCUUAACACAUGCAAGUCGAGCGGUAAGGCCCUUUCGGGGGUACACGAGCGGCGAACGGGUGAGUAACACGUGGGUGACCUGCCCUCAGCUCUGGGAUAAGCCUGGGAAACUGGGUCUAAUACUGGAUAUGACUCCACGGUGCAUGUCGUGGGGUGGAAAGCCUUGUGCGGCUGAGGAUGGGCCCGCGGCCUAUCAGCUUGUUGGUGGGGUGANGGCCUACCAAGGCGACGACGGGUAGCCGGCCUGAGAGGGCGACCGGCCACACUGGGACUGAGACACGGCCCAGACUCCUACGGGAGGCAGCGGUGGGGAAUAUUGGACAAUGGGCGAAAGCCUGAUCCAGCAAUGCCGCGUGUGUGAAGAAGGCCUGCGGGUUGUAAAGCACUUUCGGCAGGGAAGGAAAUAGCUUAGAGAUAAUACCUCUAAGUCUUGACGUCA
rnacentral:rRNA from 1 species